rnacentral:lncRNA from 1 species
UUUCUUCUCUAGCCUGACCCUAACACACUAUUCUAGCUAGACAUGGGUCUGGCUUGUAACACCUAUUGACCAAACGGAUCUACGGCACCAUCGAAUCUCAAACUUUAACUGCCAAAACUAUUGUUUUUCAUCCUGUAGUCCCUUUUAGAAUUACUAAACGUCCUUUUUUGGGCUGAGAUUUCCAGGAACGCUUACGCGCGGUUUGUGUGCAAGUAUUUCAAAUCAUACGGACCUAAAAAUUAGAAGUCAUUCCAUCUUUAUUCCCCUAGAGCCUUCCAGCAGUUCCUAAACCGCUCCAGUCGGAGCAUGUUAUCAUUCUUGUUAGUUCUGAGUGAAUUCCCUCGGUAUGAUCAUCCUUACAUCACUUUGUUCCCCGUUUCUUUUCUAGCCUGAGCCUAACACACUAUUCUAGCUAGACAUGGGUGUGGCUCGUAACACCUGAUGACCAAACGGAUCUAUGGCACCAUCAAAUCUCAAACUUUAACUGCCAAAACUAUUGUUUUUCAUUCUGUAGUCCCUUUUAGAAUUACUAAACGUCCUUUUUUGGGCCGAGAUUUCCAGGAACGCUUUCUCGGGGUUUGUGUGCAUGUAUUUCAAAUCAUACGGACCUAAAAAUUGAAAGUCAUUCCAUCUUUAUUCCCCUAGAGCCUUCCAGCAGUUCCUAAACCGCUCCAGUCGGAGCACGUUAUCAUUCUUGUUAGUUCUGAGUGAAUUCCCUCGGUAUGAUCAUUCUUUCAUCAGUUUGUUCCCCGUUUCUUCUCUAGUCUGAGCCUAGCACAUUACUCUAGCUGGACAUGGGUGUGGCUCGUUACACCUGAUGACCAAACGGAUCUACGGCAUUAUCGAAUCUCAAACUUUAACUGCCAGAACUAUUGUUUUUCACCCUGUAGUCCCUUUUAGAAUUACUAAACGUCGUUUUUUGGGCUGAGAUUUCGAGGAACGCUUUCUCGCGGUUUGUGUGCAAGUAUUUCAAAUCAUACAGACCUAAAAAUUUGAAGUCAUUCCAUCUUUAUUCCCCUAGAGCCUUCCAGAAGUUCCUAAACCGCUCCAGUCGGAGCACGUUAUCAUUCUUGUUAGUUCUGAGUGAAUUCCCUCGGUAUGAUCAUUCUUUCAUCACUUUGUUCCCUUUUUCUUCUCUAGUCUGAGCCUAGCACACUACUCUAGCUAGACAUGGGUGUGGCUCGUUACACCUGAUGACCAAACGGAUCUACGGCACCGUCGAAUCUCAAACUUUAACUGCCAAAACUAUUGUUUUUCAUCAUGUAGUCCCUUUUAGAAUUACUAAAUGUCCUUUUUUGGGCUGAGAAUUCCAGGAUCACUUUUGCGCGGUUUGUGUGCAAGUAUUUCAAAUCAUACGGACCUAAAAAUUUGAAGUCAUUCCAUCUUUAUUCCCCUAGAGCCUUCCAGCAGUUUCUAAACUGCUCCAGUCGGAGCACGUUAUCAUUCUUGUUAGUUCUGAGUGAAUUCCCUCGGUAUGAUCAUUCUUUCAUCAGUUUGUUCCCCGUUUCUUCUCUAGCCUGAGCCUAACACACUAUUCUAGCUAGACAUGGGUGUGGCUCGUAACACCUGAUGACCAAACGGAUCUACGGCACCGUCGAAUCUCAAAUUUUAACUGCCCAAACUAUUAUUUUUCAUCCUGUAGUCCCUUUUAGAAUUACUAAACGUCCUUUUUUAGGCUGAGAUUUCCAGGAACGCUUUCGCGUGGUUUGAGUGCCAGUAUUUCAAAUCAUACGGACGUAAAAAUUAGAAGUCAUUCCAUCUUUAUUCCCCUAGAGCCUUCCAGCAGUUCCUAAACCGCUCCAGUCGGAGCACGUUAUCAUUCUUGUUGGUUCUGAGUGAAUUCCCUUGGUAUGAUCAUACUUUCAUCAGUUCGUUCCCCAUUUCUUCUCUAACCUGAGCCUAACAUACUAGUGUAGCUAGACAUGGGUGUGGCUCGUAACACCUGAUGACCAAACGGAUCUACGGCAACGUCGAAUCUCAAACUUUAACUGCCAAAACUAUUGUUUUUCAUCCUAUAGUCCCUUUUAGAAUUACUAAACAUCCUUUUUUGGGCUGAGAUUUCUAGGAACGCUGUCGCGCGGUUUGUGUGCAAGUAUUUCAAAUCAUACAGACCUAAAAAUUUGAAGUCAUUCCAUCUUUAUUCGCCUAGAGCCUUCCAGAAGUUCCUAAACUGCUCCAGUCGGAGCACGUUAUCAUUCUUGUUAGUUCUGAGUGAAUUCCCUCGGUUUGAUCACUCUUUCAUCAGUUUGUUCCCUGUUUCUUCUCUAGUCUGAGCCUAGCACACUAUUCUAGCUAGACAUGGGUGUGGCUCGUAACACUUGAUGACCAAACGGAUCUACGGCACCGUCGAAUCUCAAACUUUAACUGCCAAAACUAUUGUUUUUCAUCCUGUAGUCCCUUUUAGAAUUACUAAACAUCCUUUUUUGGGCUGAGAUUUCCAGGAACGCUUUCGCGCGGUUUGUGUGCAAGUAUUUCAAAUCAUACGGUCCUAAAAAUUAGAAGUCAUUCCAUCUUUAUU